rnacentral:tRNA from 1 species
GCCCUUAUAGCUCAAUGGACAGAGCGCAGCCCUCCGAAGGCUGAGAUCGAGGUUCGACUCCCCGUGGGGGCA